AGUGAACGCUGGCGGUAGGCCUAACACAUGCAAGUCGAACGGCAGCACAGUAAGAGCUUGCUCUUACGGGUGGCGAGUGGCGGACGGGUGAGGAAUACAUCGUCAUCUACUUUUUCGUGGGGGAUAACGUAGGGAAACUUACGCUAAUACCGCAUACGACCUACGGGUGAAAGCAGGGGAUCUUCGGACCUUGCGCGAAUGCAUGAGCCGAUGUCGGAUUAGCUAGUUGGCGGGUUAAAGGCCCACCAAGGCGACGAUCCGUAGCUGGUCUGCGAGGAGGAUCAGCAACACGGGAACUGAGACACGGUCCAGACCCCUACGGGAGGCAGCAGUGGGGAAUAUUGGACAAUGGGCGAAAGCCGGAUCCAGCCAGACCGCGGGGGUGAGGAAGGCCUUCGGGUUGUAAAGCCCGUUUGUUGGGAAAGAAAAGCAGCAGGUUAAAACCCCGCCGUUCUGACGGUACCCAAAGAAUAAGCACCGGCUAACUUCGUG
rnacentral:rRNA from 1 species